rnacentral:rRNA from 1 species
UACGUAGGUGGCGAGCGUUGUCCGGAUUUAUUGGGCGUAAAGCGCGCGCAGGCGGUGCGGUAAGUCUGUCGUGAAAUCUCCCGGCUCAACUGGGAGGGUGCGGUGGAGACUGCCGGACUGGAGGCACUCAGAGGCCGGUGGGAAAUUUCCCGGUGUAGUGGUGAAAUGCGUAGAGAUCGGGAGGGAAACACCCAGUGGCGAAGGCGGCCGGCUGGUGACCUGACGCUGAGGCGCGAAGCGUGGAGCGAAACCCGG